rnacentral:misc_RNA from 1 species
GGAUGGAAAAUCAGAUGCUGUAAUAAUGCCUGAAUCCAUAUCAAAGCAUGGAGACAACUGGAAAAACGUGGACUUCCUGAUCUUUAACACAUAUACCUGGUGGCUAAAGUAUCCCAAUAUCAAAGUAUUACGAGGAUCGUUCGAUGAAGGAGCCACAGAGUAUGAUGAGGUCGAACGGCAUAUAGCAUACGAGAGAGUUCUGAGGACAUGGGCAAAGUGGGUAGAGGAAAAUGUUGAUCCUAAUCGUACCUCUGUUUUCUUUAGCAGCAUGUUUCCUCAACAUCUACGGAGUUCAGAUUGGAACAACCCAGAUGGGAUUAAUUGUGCGGAGGAGACUAUUCCAAUUCUAAACAUGUCCACCCCACUGGAUGUUAGCACAGACAGGAAAGUUUUCGCAAUUGCUGCAAAUAUUACUCAAUCAAUGAAAAUACCAGUUCACUUCCUCAAUAUAACAACCCUCUCGGAGUAUAGAAAAGAUGCACAUACUUCUUUCUACAAUUCUCAUGGAGGAAAAUUACUUUCCCCAGAGCAGAAAUCUAAUCCUGCUGUGUAUGCAGAUUGUCUUCACUGGUGUCUUCCUGGAGUGCCUGAUACUUGGAAUGAAUUGCUAUAUGCACGCACCAUGGCACAGUCUUGACUUUUGAUUCUAAUUUAGAAUCAAACUCGAGACUUUAUAAUCUAAAAACAACUCUAAUAUCAUUAAAUUAAAGCUC